GACGAACGCUGGCGGCGUGCUUAACACAUGCAAGUCGAACGGAAAGGCCCUGCUUUUGUGGGGUGCUCGAGUGGCGAACGGAUGAGUAACACGUGAGUAACCUGCCCUUGACUUUGGGAUAACUUCAGGAAACUGGGGCUAAUACCGGAUAGGAGCUCCUGCUGCAUGGUGGGGGUUGGAAAGUUUCGGCGGUUGGGGAUGGACUCGCGGCUUAUCAGCUUGUUGGUGGGGUAGUGGCUUACCAAGGCUUUGACGGGUAGCCGGCCUGAGAGGGUGACCGGCCAAAAUGGGACUGGAAUUCGGCCCCGACUCCUACGGGAGGGAGGAGUGGGGAAUAUUGCACAAUGGGCGGAAGCCUGAUGCAGCAACGCCGCGUGCGGGAUGACGGCCUUCGGGUUGUAAACCGCUUUCGCCUGUGACGAAGCGUGAGUGACGGUAAUGGGUAAAGAAGCACCGGCUAACUACGUG
rnacentral:rRNA from 1 species